rnacentral:rRNA from 1 species
UUCCGGUUGAUCCUGCCGGAGGUUACUGCUAUCGAGGUUCGACUAAGCCAUGCGAGUCGAAUGUAGCAAUACAUGGCGAACUGCUCAGUAACACGUGGACAACCUGCCCUUAGGACGGGGAUAAACCCGGGAAACUGGGUAUAAUACCCGAUAGGUCUCGAUUGCUGGAAUGCAUCGAGAUUUAAAGCUCCGGCGCCUAAGGAUGGGUCUGCGGCCUAUCAGGUAGUAGUGGGUGUAGCGUACCUACUAGCCUACGACGGGUACGGGUUGUGAGAGCAAGAGCCCGGAGAUGGAUUCUGAGACACGAAUCCAGGCCCUACGGGGUGCAGCAGGCGCGAAAACUUUACAAUGCUGGCAACAGCGAUAAGGGAACCUCGAGUGCCAGGUUACAAAUCUGGCUGUCGAGAUGCCUAAAAAGCAUUUCAUAGCAAGGGCCGGGCAAGACCGGUGCCAGCCGCCGCGGUAACACCGGCGGCUCGAGUGGUAACCGUUAUUAUUGGGUCUAAAGGGUCUGUAGCCGGCCGGAUAAGUCUCUUGAGAAAUCUGGCAGCUUAACUGUCAGGCUUUCAGGAGAUACUGUCUGGCUCGAGGCCGGGAGAGGUGAGAGGUACUUCAGGGGUAGGGGUGAAAUCUUGUAAUCCUUGAAGGACCACCAGUGGCGAAGGCGUCUCACCAGAACGGACCUGACGGCAAGGGACGAAAGCUAGGGGCACGAACCGGAUUAGAUACCCGGGUAGUCCUAGCCGUAAACGAUACUCGCUAGGUGUCGGCCACGGUGCGACCGUUGUCGGUGCCGUAGGGAAGCCGUGAAGCGAGCCACCUGGGAAGUACGGCCGCAAGGCUGAAACUUAAAGGAAUUGGCGGGGGAGCACCACAACGGGGGAGCUGCGGUUUAAUUGGAUUCAACGCCGGG